UAGAAGCGGGAGUCCUGCUUCCUCCAUUUUGAAUCCUCUGUGUUAGUUUUGGUUUUAAAUUUAGCAAGUUAUGGCUCACAGAAGUGGAAAAAAAUAUUUUUCGCUCAGGACUUGGAGCUGAACACUUGCAGUUUUCGGACCAUUGUGGAUAUAGCGUGUGUUUUGGAUUAACGCUUUAUCGGAUUACAUUUGCUGGAUCGUAAUGGACAGAAUGAAACCACACACGACGUGAAUGAGCGACGUUUGGAGCUCAGAAGUCCUCAAAAGUCAUCAACCAUUCUGAUUCCUGCUCCAUAUUCCCUAAACUCUCCAGCUCCUCUUCAGCACCGGCUGAUUGGCUCAGACCGGGGGGACAGCAUCAGUCACUGGGGGACGCGUGUCCGCCGCCGCUCGGCUCAGCACGAACGUGUGUUUUCCUGUGAUCACAACCAGUGUGAUAAAGUGCAGGCUUCCUCUGAUACGGGUUCCACAGGAAGCGGAGUGAGUGAAGUGUCUUGGCAUUUGGGCCGCUGAUGAUGCGACGCUUCGUUCUGCGAGGGAAAGGACAGGACACCGCCCUAUUUGUUGUUGCUGUGUCCUUAAGCGCUGAUUGAGGAGGUAAAGGCAGCGCGAGGCAGUCGGCAUGAAACCAACAGAGGUAAAUAAAGCCAGUGUACGUUGCAUGAAAGCAGCCUUUCUUAGUUCUCUCAGUGCACCCACAGACGACCUUGGCUUUGAAAGCACAAUGCGAAAGACCUAGAAAUGUGUGUCCCAGUGCAACGGAAAACCUCCUCGCUGAUUUCUAGCAACAUGAUGAAACUUCCUCGAAAUCUCCUGCAACGUUGGACUGUCAUUCAUCGUAUUAGCGCGUGCACUGGAGGACACCGAGAAGACGUGCACAUGCACGACUCCUGGUUACACAUAUAUAUUCAUUACAUGCUGUAGAGGUUGGUGGGCUACACUUAGGUUUACCCAAACAUUCACAUGCUUGUAUCUAAAAUUAUGCAGGUUUAGGAAUUGUAAUAUUGUAUUGAAUAGUCAAUGUAGUAAAAGUAAAUGUAAUGUAUGUAAAAGUUUCUGGUAGUUGGUGGAGCAUCCAUAGCUUGCCCCUCAAUCUGUAAAGUCAGUCCUGAUUAGAGUUAAUAAUAAUUCAUGAAUAAAUACUGAUACUUGUGUAAAACCUGAUGCUUCAUCCCAAUUUGAGCAGAGCUGUGUGAAUAUUUGCCCUGUGAUUGGAACCGAGCAGUAAUACGGCUACUACUGCUUUUGUGGUGAAUACUACUGUAUGUAUGUUCCGCAGUGGAAAUGCACCAUGACAGCUACUGUAACCUCUAUAAAAAUAAAUA